CUGAGUCCCGCAUCUGCUUCUUAGAAGGUGAGGGGCACUGGCAGGCUGGGGAAGCUGGGCCGAGCAGGGAAAAUGGGUCCUGGGUGAGAGGGCAGCCUCGGUCAGAAGAGUUUCCUGGGCCAGGACUGGCCAUGGGGAAGGGUAGGGUUGGGACAAGAGUCGGGGGCCCUCUUCCCUCACGGCCACUCUUUCAGGUAUCUGGAGCAACCUGUAUGCAGCCAACCUCCAGGACAGCUUAUACUGGGCCUCAGAGCCCAGCCAGUUCUGGGACCGCUGGGUCAGGAACCACGCCAACCUGGACAAGGAGCAGGUCCCCCUUCUGAAGAUAGAAGAACCACCCUCAACAGCCGGCAGGAUAGCUGAGUUUUUCACCGAUCUUCUGACGUGGCGUCCACUGGCCCAGGCCACACAUAAUUUCCUGCGUGGCCUCCAUUUCCACAAAGACUACUUUCAGCAUCCUCACUUCUCCACAUGGAAAGGUACCUGCUUCUCUCCAAAGUCCUCCUGUGGCCACCUGAGCCUUGAGUCCCCAGUCCAGAUACCCCUCACAGUCCCCUCCCAUUCUCCUGCUUUGAGCUUGAUUCCCUGGACUACUUGGAACAGGGGUCUUUUUCUCCUUGUCUUGGGGACCCAGGGCCCACCUGCGGGGCUGUGGGGGUGUUGGUUCAGCAGGAGAGCAGGGACCAGAGGCCAGAGUCUCUCCUUCCAGCAGGAAUCUGGUACCCUUGGUAUCUGUGACAAUUGCUGCUCUCCCCAACCUUCCAGCUACCACUCUGGAUGGGCUCCCCAACCAGCUGACACCCUCGGAGCCCCACCUGUGCCUGCUGGAUGUUGGCUACCUCAUCAAUACCAGCUGCCUGCCCCUCCUGCAGCCCACUCGGGACGUGGACCUCAUCCUGUCAUUGGACUACAACCUCCACGGAGCCUUCCAGGU
rnacentral:lncRNA from 1 species